rnacentral:tRNA from 3 species
GCCGCCGUGGUGGAAUUGGUAGACACGCACGACUCAAAAUCGUGUGGAGAAAUCCGUGUCGGUUCGAUUCCGACCGGCGGCACAA